ensembl:lncRNA
GACCAGCCUCAUCAACAUAGCGAGACCCCAUCUCUAUUAAAAAAAAUAAAUAGGCAGAACUAAACUAGCCCCAGUGUCACAAAACUCAACUGGUCAUAUAAAUGAGUGAAACAGGCCUCUCAAGUGGUGUAAAACAGCUGGGAGUAGUGGGAGCUGUGGCAAACUGAAGUGCCCAAGCCCCAUUUAAAAAAGGCAUCUGUUCAGCUCCAUCUGCUUGCUGCCAUGCAAGAAUGCUAAACCAGGAUAACCAGUUCUUCACAUUUUUUGAAAUCCAGAUUUUCAUGAGAAAUAUUCUCAUUUUUAAAUAUCAAGAACUGAUUUUAAAAUGUUUAAAUAGUGCUGGUUAAACAAACACUUCUGCAGCUGGAUUUAGGUUGCAAGCUGCCAAGUUGCAACCUCUUUCAUUCUAGAAACUUCUGUCAUUUUCAUCAUAGCAAAUCUAUGUGGACAAAAGCCUCCAAAUUUUCCAACUGUGUAGGCCAGUACAGCUGGCAAGGUUCAUAGAAUAUAACGACUAUCCCCCUCUGCCAAAUAAGACUAUCCACAACCCAGCUCAGACACAGUAGUUAUAUGGAUUUUGUGUCCAUACAGGGGAGGCCUUGGUGUCCUCACAUACAUUCUCCUAGCCAACAUCUAUCCAGCAGCCCUGACCUCCUGCUAUAAUUUAAGUCUAUUUCCUUUUAGUCUAAUAAGAGUUGAUAGUAAAAAGGCAGGUGAUGGAAAUCAGUGUAUAAAUCACAAUGGAGUAUAUUGGCGACUCCACAGCUUAUAGUUUGAUAAAGGCAAAUACGUGAAAAAUGAAAAUGCUACUAAUGCCCCAAGGUGUCUAUCAAAAUGAUGUAGGGGGUAUCUUAAACUGUCCAAAACAAUCAUGCAUUGAACUUUAUUCCUAUGCAGAGCCAAUAGUGUUGAUAAAAUAGUUAAACUUUCUAAACUGGAGAGGAGGCUACAGUGCCAGAGAGUUAUUGUCUCUUUUGCUUUAAAUGGUAAUCUUAAAAGUUGCAUUGUGCUCUUCCUUUGUUUGGGGAUAGAUAUAUAUAGAGAGAGAUACUAUAAGGAAGUUUAUUUCUUAGGAAGUGCACUGAAUAAUGCAUUUCUUUUACAGUGUAAUAUGGGGGUGGGGAUAUGCAAAAGAAAUGUGUAUUUUUGCUAGUUGCCUAUCUUCUGAGAUAAAUAAGCACAAUCUUGCAAUGGAUCCAAUAACCCAGUUAGGUAUUAUAGAUUAGUAUUUAAGUUUGCUGUAGAUUGUGUGUGUGUGCUAAGUAAAAGUUCCAUGAUUCACAAUUUUAGUAUUAACCCAUGUUGCAAAAGCUGUUACCGGCCAACAGAUUGUAAUGAUGUGUACCAUAUAACACAAGCAUUAACUAGGCAUUAACGUUUGUAAAGCCAAAUACACCAUGCAGAAGUCUUCAUUUUUAUAACAGACUACAUUAAAACAAGUUAAAUCAUGCUGUUUGGGGGGAAAAUAGUCUUGUUUGUACAAAGUGAAAAAUGGCACAAUUUGGGCAUAUUUUGUUGGGAAGAGGGGGUGGUAUAGAGGGAGCACUUGACUGUGGCUUUGACAAACCAAAUGAAGUCAAUGACCCAUCCAGGUUAGACUCCCUAAGGAACUAAAACAUUGAUUUUCUUUAGAGUCUUAGAGCUGGAAAAAGCCUUUACAAUAAUCCAGUCUGUGAUUUUUUAAACCAUUUGGUGGUUCUGGACCUUUUUGAGAAUCUUAGAAAAGAUGUAAAGUUUAUCCCUAGAAAAAUGAAUAUGCCUAUAUGCAAAAUUUGUUUGAUGGCUUCAUAGGAUCCAGAGACCCUGAAGCCAUCCAUGGCUCAUGUAUUCCUGCUUAAGAAAGCAUAGUCUUGUUCUGCCCUCUCAUUUUACAAAUGAUUAAUGCAACCCUUUUCAACUACUCCAGUGCUGUUGCUGCUGCAAUGUUAGCAAAUGCAAGCCAGACAGAAGCACUUGAAAAUCCUUUGAUGUACAAAAAAUGUUCAAACAGUGUGGAUGUUUACAUAUCUGAUGUUGCCAGCAUUUAAGCCAAUUAAUGAUCAUUUCAACAAAUACUAGCUAUAGCCAGUUUCCCUUAAUAGCCUGUCAGCAGUGCUGCCUUGUCAGUUUGUGUGCGUGUGUGUGUGUCUGUGUGUGUGAAUUCAUAAGGAGUGCUUCUGAUGCGUAGUCCUUGAAAUGGAACUUCAAAUGUCUUUCGAAACGCUGGCUUCAAAAUAGGAUGUGUUUUCCUAAUGAAUCAGAAGUAGGCAGUGAGCAUUGUUCCACAGGAAUAAUUUUUAAUUUAAUUUCUAUCAAACUAGUUGAGAAAUGAGAGCCUGUCUACCCACUAUUUGUAUAUCAAUGGCCAAUUCAUUAGUAAAAAUAAAGGAGGAGAAAGGAGACUGGAGUAGUGGUUCUCAAACUUUACUGUGUGUUACUAUAACCUGGGAAGCCAGGUAAAAUAAAGAUUUCUGGAGAUUGGAUCCUCUGACUAGCUGAUGCAGCUAGUCUGUUUU